rnacentral:rRNA from 1 species
UAGGGAAUCUUCCACAAUGGGCGCAAGCCUGAUGGAGCAACGCCGCGUGAGUGAAGAAGGUCUUCGGAUCGUAAAACUCUGUUGUUAGAGAAGGGCAUGCGAGAGAGUAACUGUUCUUGUAUUGACGGUAUCUAACCAGAAAGCCACGGCUAACUACGUGCCGG